GACAGAGUAGCUCAAUGGUUAAGGCAUUCAGCUUGCAAGCUGAACUCCAUGAUCUGGGCUCAAUCCCAGCUAUGUCA